rnacentral:rRNA from 1 species
GGACCCGCACAACCAGUGGAGCGUGUGGUUCAAUUCGAGACAAAGCGAAGAACCUCACCAGGGCUUGACAUGUAACCGUUUUAGUCGUCUGGAAACAGAUGGUGAUCCGUAAGGAAGGUUACACAGGUGCUGCAUGGCUGUCCUCAGCUCGUGCCGUGAGGUGUUCCCUUAAGUGGGGAAACGAGUGCAACCCUCAUCCUAUGUUAAAUAUUCAUAGGAAACUGCCCUGCUAUGCAGGGAGGAAGGAGAGGCGGAUGUCAAGUCAGCAUGGCCCUUAUGCCCUGGGCUACACACACCCUACAAUGGCGAAAAACAACGAGUCGCAAGCACGCGAGUGCAAGCUAAUCUCUCAAAUUUCGCCUCAGUUCAGAUUGCAGUCUGCAAUUCGACUGCAUGAAGUCGGAAUUGGUAGUAAUCGCGGAUCAGCAGGCCGCGGUGAAUACGUUCUCGGGUCUU